rnacentral:rRNA from 1 species
UACGUAGGGUGCGAGCGUUGUCCGGAAUUAUUGGGCGUAAAGAGCUCGUAGGCGGUGUGUCACGUCGAUCGUGAAAACUUGGGGCUUAACUCUGAGCUUGCGGUCGAUACGGGCAUCACUGGAGUUCGGCAGGGGAGACUGGAAUUCCUGGUGUAGCGGUGAAAUGCGUAGAUAUCAAGAGGAACACCAGUGGCGAAGGCGAGUCCCUGGACAACUUCUGACGCUGAGGCACGAAAGCUAGGGGAGCAAACAGG